rnacentral:rRNA from 1 species
AUUGAACGCUGGCGGCAUGCUUUACACAUGCAAGUCGGACGGCAGCACAGAGGAGCUUGCUUCUUGGGUGGCGAGUGGCGAACGGGUGAGUAACGCAUCGGAACGUACCGAGUAAUGGGGGAUAACUGCCCGAAAGGACAGCUAAUACCGCAUACGCCCUGAGGGGGAAAGCGGGGGAUCUUAGGACCUCGCGUUAUUCGAGCGGCCGAUGUCUGAUUAGCUGGUUGGCGGGGUAAAGGCCCACCAAGGCGACGAUCAGUAGCGGGUCUGAGAGGAUGAUCCGCCACACUGGGACUGAGACACGGCCCAGACUCCUACGGGAGGCAGCAGUGGGGAAUUUUGGACAAUGGGCGCAAGCCUGAUCCAGCCAUGCCGCGUGUCUGAAGAAGGCCUUCGGGUUGUAAAGGACUUUUGUCAGGGAAGAAAAGGGGCAUGUUAAUACCGUGCUCUGAUGACGGUACCUGAAGAAUAAGCACCGGCUAACUACGUG